rnacentral:lncRNA from 1 species
GGCCUUUCUAGGGAGUUUUUCCUAGCCACCGUGCUUCUACACCUGCAUUGCUUGAUGUUUGGGGUUUUAGGCUGGGUUUCUGUACAGCACUUUGUGAUAUCAGCUGAUGUAAGAAGGGCUAUAUAAAUACAUUUGAUUUGAUCUGAUGUCCUCUCCUCUUAUUGGUGUGAUGUAGUGAAGGGUCUGAUGUCCUCUCCUCUUAUUGGUGUGAGGUAGUGAAGGAUCUGAUGUCCUCUCCUCUUAUUGGUGUGAGGUAGUGAAGGGUCAGUUCAAGUGAAUAUACACCGAUGUCCGCUCCAGUGAGUUCAUUACCUUCCAGCUUUACUCUGUUCUGGAGCAUUUUCUUCUGUUUUGGUAAGAGAUCCUUGGACCUGUGUCUUAUUUGUCACCGUAUAACCCUUGACAGUGGUACGAUUCUUAACAUCAACCACCCAUGAUGGUUAUGUAACAGCAACAAUCACCAGCUGUAUCUUUCCACAGUGGAUAGACAUAGAGGAAAACACACCGUUCUCCUGUAGAGUGCUUUAGGUAUCACGUUACACCAAACCAAUUCAUUGUUAUAAUACAGACAGAGGUGAAAAGCUGUUCAUCAUGUUACACGGAGGAGAAAAGACAGCUAGGGACAAAACGUGGGAGAGAAAAAAAAGCUUGGGGUGAAAGAGAGGGCACAGGAGGUAAAGACGGAGAGAUGAAUAAAGUGGAGGAGAAAGGGAAAGAAAGAAAUAAAGAAAGAAGGAAGGAAGGAAAGAAAUGAGCAUUGAUUAAACAGAAUACAACUACUAAGAAAUAUAACAGCAAAGAGAGAAAAGUCAUGUCAGCUUACAGAGAAUGAUUUAAGAGAACACAGC